rfam:Bdellovibrionales bacterium RIFOXYA1_FTLL_36_14 rifoxya1_full_scaffold_203, whole genome shotgun sequence.
GGUGCCAUAGCGCAGUUGGAUAGCGCAACUGACUUCUAAUCAGUAGGUCUCUGGUUCGAGUCCAGAUGGCACCG